UUUGAUCUGAUGAGCUAAGCUGG
rnacentral:miRNA from 1 species